CUUAAAACACGCAGACUCCCCAACAGGUCUCCCCAAUCUUCCUUCUCACGAAAGCUCCUACAGUCCUGCCCAAUCGAUUGAUCCAUCAACUCAUCGCUCUGACCAAAAUAUUUUAGCAUGCAUAUCUAAGAUUGAUCCAUCAACAUCACUUCCUGGCAGAUGAAUUUGGAAGUUUCAGCAGCGAAGGAAGAUGCAACAGGGUACAGUAAUGAUUGAUCUUGGAGAUUGCUGUGCACAAGAGCAACGUCAAGCUACAGAUUUAUCCAUCAACAUCACUUCCUGGCCGAUGAAUUUGGAAGUUUCAGCAGCGAAGGAAGAUGCGGCAGGGUACAGUAACGAUCGAGCUUGGAGAUUGAUGUACACAAGAGCAACGUCCAGCUCCAGGUGCUAUUAACCAUAGAGCGUCUGGAAUUUGUUAUUUCCACACGUAUGUGCCUAAUCCUAAAGAAUUAUAUCUGCUCUUCAAUCAUUGUACCAAGCUCAGAUUAUUUCUUCUUCUCAUGCUGAAGGUUUGAUACUAAGUUGCUAACACAAUUCAUAUAAUUUACCUCUUUGGUUAUUAACCAGUAUGAUCAAGGUUGUCAGAAUCGCGAUUUUGAAUCGGAUCGGAGCUCUGAUGGUAGAAUCAUAAAUUGUAGAAUCUUCACUACCAGGAUCGUAGAAACGUAGAUUUUAUGAACUAAAAUCGUAGAAUCAGAUGGGUAAGUUUGGAUCGUAAAGUCGUAGAAUCGUAUAACAGAAUCGCGAUUCUAACAACCUUGAGUAUGAUAGCUUUUCCAACAUAAGGCCAUGAUCAUGUUGGACCUAUCUGGAACUUGACGUGGAUGGAGAAAAGCUGUAUGACGAGAACCCAACAAACAACCAGUUUUUUUUUGCGAGUACUGAGAUAAGCCAGCAUAUCAACAUUAUCCUGAUUUGCUCCUUUGGCGUAUGAGAAGCGCACCACGAGCAAGCCAUGGUCUAUUUCCAAGAAGGUGGCUAUAUAUGAUGUACCCAGCUUCAGGCCAAAGAUCAUUGCCAAAGUUUUCAUUAGCUACGCCACGUUGGAUGUCCUUAAUGCAGUUAACCACGGAGGGAGUGCACUGAUAGUAGAUGGCAGACAUAAUACUUGAAUUUCAUACAUCACAACUGUAGGAUAACAUGGUAAAAUGGUAAGCAGGGUGAGUAAGAGUAAAUGGAUUUACAUUACGAAAGGAUUAUUGAUGUUUUCUGUCAUUUUGUAGACAUCCUCUAGGUUACGUGGUAUUCUGGGUACAAUUUAUUAUUCAUAAAGCAUGAAAAAAUUCAAGCAUGGUCUAUGCGUGCAAUAGUUGCUCGAGCAUCUGGAAUACUUUGUGUCUAUUCUUCUUUUUCUUUUUAUCUUUAUAUAACUGAAUCAUUUGAUCUCUCAUUGUUGUUUGCGUUGUGUACAAUUGUAGGAUGCUAUGAAAAAAACUUAUCAUUUUGUAAGACGCACUCAGUAUUUUAUUCGUACUAGCACAAAUACCCGUGCGUUGCAACGGGGAACAAAACAAACCUCACUUCACUGACCCAAUGGCUCAAGACCUCCUCCUCCUCUCGCCGCGCCCCAUCGCCAGACAUGAUGCCAUCAACAAACUCCUUGAAAUCUUCCACACUGCCACACGAGAAACAAAAUAAAUGUUAGGAGUGUUGUCCAAAGACCCUCCAUCUUUGGCUAAUAUAACAGAGAAAAGUGCGGAGUUUGUGUCACACACAGUAGGGACUCCGAGUCCAACUCCUUGUACUUUGGUGACGGGCGCUAGUGGGUCGAGCCGAAAAAUAAUAGUGAAGAUUUGUUUUGGUCUUAGAAAAAUAUAGCAUAUGACCAACAAAUAAUGAAAAGUUUUUAUUGUGAUUUAGACAAAAAAAUUGCAUGUGUUAUCGUAAUAUGCUUGAGUUAAACAGUUCUGAUACGUCAAAUAUUAGUAUCACAAUAUCGUAUCUUGGUUUGUGACGUCAAUAAUUCAUAUAUAAAGAAGUAGUUCACCCAUGGCAGAUGCACCUAAACACAACACCUCGCAAUUUAGCUACAAAAAAGCGGUUCAAGAUGAUUUAGACACAAAGAAGAAAUUCAUCAGUUCAAUAACUGAAUAAGCCUCGGGGCAUGUAGGCAAACUAUGAUAUUUUUGGGCCAUAAUUACCAAAUGUGUAUAUGGGGUGAAGCAAUUCUUGGUGUAUGUUCAUUUAAAAUGGUAUUCAAUUUUUCUUGUCGAAUAUCUUAUUGUUUUUCAACAAACUUAUAUUCUAAUUAGAUUGGAAUCACAUUAAAAAUUUAAUUUAUCUUUAAACUUAUGUUUUGUUUUACUGGUUAAAUUUUACGUUAAAUCCCUAUAAUUUAAUUUUAAAUAACAGACAUAUAUUUAAUACUUUAUUUCUUGUUUAUUAUUUUGCAAUUCACAUGUAAAUGAAGUUGUAUUUUUUAUCCAUGUAAUUAAUAAAAUAUGUCUAAUAUUAUUAUCGGGAAUUAUAAUGCACGGAUGUGUCUGCUCAUCCCUUCAAGCGCGAUAGGCGCCACGCCAUUUAAUGUGUGAGACCGGUCAUGCAUGUGAUGAUGAUUCGAUUGAUUGCUAUUGUCAUGUCCUCCGUGGGUGAUGUUGUUAAGUCAUGCGUUAGUACAUCCCAUUAUUUUUUUGAACAACAUAAAAUCUUGAUCGACCAUGAUCUAAGUUUCUUUUUUUAGUGCAAAGGCAUCUAACAUUGUAUGUGCUCACGUUAAGCUCAACUUGUAUGCACGUUCCCAUAAAAAAAAUCCUUAUACGCAUGUUUUUAUAUAUUCCUGAUAGAUCAGACCGGCCGCUCAUGUAUGAUGAUCCCAUUGCAUGCUACUGUCAUGGUCGCCGUGGGUGAUGCUCUGUAAAUCGCGCCUUAGUGCAUCGCAUUAGUUUUCUGAACAACUCAAAAUGUUGAUUGAUCAUGAUCUAAGUUUCUUUUUCAAGUGCAAAGGCAUCUAAUUUUGUAUGUGCUCAAGUUGUACGCGUCCAUAAAAAACAUGUUUUUAUAUAAUUCUUGAUAGUCCUUUCUGCUUUUCUUCUUCUUCUCUAAUUUGAAUGUGUCCAGAUGGACUCUCCUUCCCAUAGGGGAAACCAUUCUGUCACAUCUUUCACAUAUGGAAUCUUCCUUCUCGAGUCUAUCCUCAAUACAUGACUACCUUCCUUUCCUGCCUCAUCUUGCGCAUGGACCCGAAAUCCCUCUCUUUCCUUCAUUAUUGUUUCAAUCCCUCUUUCCUUCCUUACUGUUUUUGCAUAUGGCCCAAAGCGAGAUGACCCACAUGACUCCCAUGGGCUUGCUUUGAUAAACCCCCAUGGGCUGAUCUCACGCGAGGGAUAAACAUAACGAAAGUUUUUUAGGAAAAAAAAUACUUUAUUAGUAUCACCUUGGAUAAAAAAACAAUAUAAUAUGAGUGAACGGAUCAAAAAAACGGAGAAACGCACUGUGCUUUAUUAGAAAAAAAAUGUUUAUGCGUUGCAAUGGGAGAAAAAUCACAUACUCAUGCUUUAGGGAGCAAACACCCUUGCUAUAAACCAGGUGAAAAUAUAGCUAAAUGGAAUGAUGAAGAUGUAAGCUCACCACGACCUUCAAUGACUGGUGGCGACUGCCGGCACGGCCGUCUAUGAAGAUGUAAGGUCACCCAGGCACCAAACCAACCUUCUACACAUCCUCACGAGACGAUGGCCUAACACCUGCUCGAGUGUUGCUAUCGCCGCCAUCGUCAACCCACACACCAUCCUCCUGCUAGCACCAGGUACAGAUGAUAAUUGGAACUGUAGGUAUACCAAAAUAUUUUCAUGUGUUGCAAUAGAGAAAAAGAUUUCUUUGGCAUUAUUUUUUAUGAUUAUUCCAAUAGAUUGACUUAAAAAAUAAUGCAACUAUGGAUGUUAUUUUUCUCUUAAUGCAUUGUUUCAUCAACAUACAUUCAUAAUACUAUCAAGUAAGCCCUCGAAAAAUAAUAAAUAAUAAAAUAAUAAUACUAUCAUGUAUGCCACGUGGUGAUUCCACAUUUUACUUCACUUCCCAUUUUUAACCAUACUUCAUGUAGGAUUUUUGAUUAAUCCGAAUAGUCACUUUGGAGCAUGGGCACAUUGUAGUCGUUUUUAGAAACAUGUUUCUAUCCAAAAAAUUAAAAAAAUGUAGUAUAUUUGUGUGAAUUUUCAUCAAAAUUCGUGUUUGUAUGUGAAAGAUUAAAAGGAAGACAACUACAUGCAAAAAAACCAAAAUAUUUUUCGCUGGAUUUUUGUCUUUUUUACUUUUAAUAAAAUUUGGCAUGUACUUGGAUUUUCAUAUUUUUCAGGUUUAUUAUCUUCUUUAAUUUUUUGGUGGCGACGUUGUCUAGUCACGCACAUACAUUUGUUCCUACUUUUAUGGAUGUACAGAUGCAUUUUUCCUAGCAAAUAUUGGGCGUACACAUACACUUUUUCAAACCAGCUACCAAUGCAGCACCAUCCCAGGCCGUGCCCACAAUCACGUUUUAUUAGAGAAUCCAAUCAGCUUUAAUUAAGAGCCAUGCAUGAGGUGGCUACGCGGCUGGGCCAGGGAGGCUGGGCUUGGGCGCGAGCGCUGUGCUAGGCCUUGGAGGGUCACUCGGCCCACCACACGAGCGGCGGGCUUGGUCGACGUUCUCGUCGAACAAGGGCAUAGGCAGGAGGUGGCUUGCGGCGGCGCUGGAGGCAAACUCCGAUGGGGACGGCAAGGGGCGGUGCAGAUCUAGCGUGGGAGUGGUGGGGAUGGGUUUCCCGCAGCCAGAUCUCGCCGGAUCCGAGCACGGACAACUCGUGGCGGCGGCUAUGGAGCACCUGGCGUCCUGAAGAGAGAGAGAGAUGUGAGGAAGAGAGAAGAAGGAAGGGAGAGAGAGAGAGAGAUGCGCUGCUCAUCUGCUGGUCCGGCGAGGGUCCGGUCGCCGGCGGCGAGGCGAGGUGGAGGAGGUCCGGCCGGUGCGGUCAGGCGCAGGAGGGAGCUCGAGGGGUAGCUUAGGGAAGCGACGGCGUACUGGCGCGGCUCAUCCCGAAUUAGCGGUACAAAAUGUUUUUUUUACUUAUUUAUUGUGGUUAUUUAAUUUGGUAGCGGUUUUUUUAGUACCACCUUGAGUAUAUGCUUUAAAUUUAAACUGAAAGCGUAAAUUCACGAGAAGAAGCGUAUUGUGACGGUGAACCCAUGGAGAUAAUUCGUACUUUUUAUUCGUAAAUUUUUCUUACUGUUUGGCAUUCUAUAACCAUCUAGACAGUAUUUUCAGAUAAUUUUGUUCUCCCUGCAACUAAAGUUCAGUUCUAGACACGUUUAACUCCAUGUACUACGCUUCUACGCAAAAAAGAAAAAAUUGUACUGCUACCCUGAAGCAAUUGAAGCGAGACCCUUCCUUCAUGCAAACCAACUAGUUCAGUUGGAACCGACAUUCUCGUAGAUAGUGAGGUGCUUGUCGUGACUUCAUUAGUUUCAAAACGUACCGGUUUAUUCUCUUGGUGCUUAUAGAGGUAUGAUAUGCGUGUGUACUUUUAUACGGCGAGUGUAUGUACAUAUUUGUGAGCGUCGGCGUCUAUGCUUUGUCUUUAAAAAAAAAGUUCCACUUACACAUUUGCAUGCAUUAACUUAAUGUGCUCGUGUUUUGCACUGGGAAUAAAAAUCGUCUACUCACAUUUUGCCACUUUUCAUGUUCGCCAUCACCGACGAUUUUCAUGUUCACCACCUCCGUUCAUGAUGGAUUCCAUCGAGCGUGUUCCCUCUGCACCUCGGGGUCCUCCGCCGGCGACGGCCCCAUCGAGACCUCCACUACGACGCCCCCAUCAAGCUCGCGGCCGACCGUGUUCUCUCCCGCAUCAGCCUGUCGCUGCGCCUCGGUCCUCCUCCGAGGUGUUCUUCCUUCCUUCGCCCUUCCUACUUUCCCUUUUCUUGUGGAGAUAAUUCUUUGGCAUCAUCCUCUUCAUCUCCGCUUAUCAAUUUCCAUGGCCGCUUGUUCCGUCACCGGGGCAUGCAUAUAUAAACUGAUGAAAUUAGAUGUAAAAGAGCAAUAUGGGAUUAUUAACUGAAAGGAGAACACGUGGCUUUUGUAUAGGUGAGUCAAUCGCACACACUGUCGUUGGGUAGCCCACUAUAGAUAAAAAUAAAUUAUGAAUCCUUCUACAACAGAGUGAGCCGAGGCCGGAACACAUGUACUGCUGCGGCAGCCCAAUACGGGGAUAGAAAAAAGGAAAAAGCGGACGGGAAUUUUAGUACCACCUCGAAAAGGAGCGGAAGAAAAUAACUUCAAACUGAAAGCAUAAAUUCACAGCAAAAAAACGUAUUGUGACCGUGAACCCACAGAGUCAAUCCGUGCUUUAUUAUUAGGGAUAGAUUUUAUACGCUGUAUCUAAUAUUUUUAGAUGUACAGGUGGCACUUAUGAGUUUGAAUUUCUGUCGGUCGGUAGCCAAGUGAAUGAACCUAUUUUUAUAUAAAAAUCUCAUCCACUAUAGAAACAUACACUUUAAUUUGGUCAACUCUUAAUACACAAUUCUACUCCGUAUUGUCCUUUCAGUGUGAAAAAUAAUUUCUUUAAUAUGUGCUACAUUUAUAUUAUUGGCUAACUAAUUAUAAAGGAAACAAUGGCUCUUAGGCAUAAACUGCACCUUUGCUUUUAAAUAUAGCAUGUGUUUUCAGUCUGAAUAAUAAUUUAUAAACAUCAUGUUUAUGUAUAUGUUGUAGGCUAAAGGAAAUAUCGGAAAGCAACUACACAUUACAUGUUAUGGAGUAUGUUCUUUGUUAUGGAACAACAGGCUCCUACUAUGCCAUAUUAAAAAUAGAGAUAUUUGUAUAUUUGAGGGGGCUAUGGGCCUCAAAGGGUGAAAACAAAGGUUCGGAAUAAAGGAAUGCAAAGGAUCUUAGUGUAAUGCUUGAACAGACGAUAUAACUAAAGGUCUAGGUCAGCGAUGUUCCUCUGAGCCAAGAUCUCCUAGCACCAUGUUACAAAUUAAAUAUCUUCUAUAUCAUUUCUUCUAAUUGUUCGACAUGCCAAGUAUCAUCUUUCCAUAACAGUUAGGGAUACAAGACUCAGCAAUGGAAUAGUUGGAUAUAUGCUAGCUUCGAUUGGCAGGUUCGAUUAGAAUCAAUAGUUUAAUUUAAUUUUGCAUACCCUCUAGAUUGCAAAUUCAAGACGCUAUUGUGUUGCGAUGUGAGCAGAGCAUGCUCGAGCUAUUUCGACCAUUGUUUUUAGAAUUGUUUGAGUGUAUAUGUUCAGUACUGGUGUUGUACUAUCUUCACUUCUAUUGCAGAGUAUGCCCUUCUUUUCCUGUCAUACUAAGGUCACCAGAUCAAAUCUGAUGGGGGCCAUUCCAUCACAAACAUUUUAUAUUUCACAUGUAGUCCUUUCUCCAUGAUUCAGCCACGCAUGAAAUUGUUUCUUCUCUUUCCAUUGUAUAUGAUUAUCCAUGUCACAAGGGCAAAGCUUACUUCCAACAUGCAUAGGAACUAUAACCUCCGUCGUAAAUUACUUAACUAAGAUUUGUCUAGAUACGGAUGCAUCUAGACACGUUUUUAGAUACAUCCGUAUCUAAACAAAUCUGAGAAAAGUAAUUCAGGACGGAGGGAGUAUAUAAUUGAAAAAUUCAAAAUGUGGUGCAUGCAUGCUUCUUAUUUGUAGGUUUACAGUAGAGAAUUAUUCUCUCCGAGCAUAGCAUCCUAUUUCUAUUUUGCCAUUGGAUAGUCAGACUGAUCCUUGCGCAACACUUAGUCAUUUUUUAGAUUCACUCCAUAUUAAUGGUAGUAAGAUGUUAUGAAUAUAUUUCAUAAUACUAAAAAUCAAUAAUAUAUCUUUUUCAUAAUAUUCAAAUGUAAGAAUUUAGCUGGAACAACAAUUUUUUAAGGAACGAUGUAAUUUUACCAAGUAAGCAUAUCAUUUCUACUUCAAAACCUAAGAUUUAUAGGACUACAUGUGCUAAACAAAAUGUAUGUGGUUUUCCACUGAUAUUUGUGAAAACGCACAUAACUACAGUGAUCCAGACCAGUAGUUACAUUCAUAACAAUUUUACUGGGAUGAUGGUGCCGAUAAAUCUUUAGAGAACGAUGGAACUUAAUAAAAAUUAUAUGUAACUUUUGGUCCUACUAAUUAUAGUACCAUUUUUUGGGAUAAUAUUGUGCCAGUUAUUACAUGUUCGAAAAAGUAAUAUCUCUUCUGCUUAUUCAUAAAAUUCUUAUUCAAUUUGUAAAAGAUUUUA